rnacentral:tRNA from 1 species
AGCCCCGUAGUGUAGUGGUCAAGCAUAGAGGGCUUUGAACCCUUUGACGGAGGUUCGAAUCUUCCCGGGGCUA